rnacentral:lncRNA from 1 species
CUGGAUUUGACCAUUGUCUUGUAGAGGGUCAGUAUUGCAGAAGAAAAAUAAAAGGUACAGAUAAAACUUGGCUUAGGAUAAAUGAGGUGUGCAAACCUCGUGGAGGGUGUACCAACCCUAUGGAUGAAUGAUGUGAGGUGUACUAACCUCGUGGAGGGUGUACCAACCCUAUGGGUGAAUGAUGUGAGGUGUACUAACCUCGUGGAGGGUGUACCAACCCUGCGGAUGAAUGAUGUGAGGUGUACUAACCUCGCGGAGGGUGUACCAACUAGGGAUGGCAACGGGUCGGAUCGGGCACGGAUAGUGCCUACCCGCAACCCGACCCGCUGGGUAAAAUUGUACCCGCUACCCGCCCCGCUACCCGCUGGAUACCCGCCUUAAAAAAACCCGCGGAUUUUUUUCAACCCGCGGGUACCCGUUGGAUACCCG